AAUGGUUGAUUGACACCUGGAUGAUCUAAGUCAUGCGUUACAGCCGCUAUCAAGGAAGCCAUAAUUUCUAAAUUCGUGAGGAAGCAAUGCAUUGCCUGAGUGACGUCCGUGGCAUGUAUGCUGUUGUGGGGAGAAUCGGACAUAAUAAAAAUAAUACAAAUCUCUCUUCCUCCACCCUUUCUCCUCUCUUAUGUUUUCUCUCAAAGAAACUACGAUUAUGUUACACGUCUCGUUCUCGAUGAUAAUUGGUGGUAAUACCUGUUAUUGCUAAACUUCACAAC